GCAAUAGCGGUAGUCCCAUGAAGCCACAUCCCCUUUUCCAUAGGUCACACCCCCUUUUCUGAUGCUCGAGGGAGUCCCGCAUCAGAGAGGACAUAUGUUGAGAGUCUUAUAGGGUGUUGAUGAGGAAAGGAAGAAGAAAGAGGAAGAAGAGGAGUGGCUGUUACAUAGGCAAGAAGUUAUGAAGGCGAAAAAAGUAGGCAGUCACCUACCAGUAACCAUGACAUAUCGGAGUGCCAGAGAAGACAGAAUAAAAGAAGAUGGAAAAGAAGAAAGAAGAACAUCCUUAAGGAUUUAGUAAUAUAAUAAGAAGAAGGACAACAUGGAGUCGGAUUGUUUAUUUAAAUGAAAGGACUUUUGAAUAUGGUGUGUGUUUUAUCUUUGUAAUAUUUUACAAUAUGGCGCUACAAGUCUCAGAUCUACAAGCACUAGUAUGUGCUGGUUCUGGCAACCACGGGGUAUAUACUGGUACGUCUGCUAGUGCCAGUAGUGUCACAUACUAAAAUAUAUUUUUUAACUUUAAACAAUGAUUUCUUCAACAACCAUUGGCCAAAAGUGUUGGGUUGAGCCCCAGUUCCAUCAGCAUGGGGUUGGUUUCUCCUAAGUAGUGGGCACAUUUUUAAAUGUAGGCAUCCCUUAUACAUUAGUGGUAACCUGCCUAGGCUAUGGUACACUGACCUAGAUGUCUUAUUCCACUGUAUUUCAUCAGAGCCAAACAAAUGAUGAACAAUUGAUAUCUCCUAGAGAUGGAUGAUGAAAUGGGUCUUCAGUCCUUCUAGCCCACAACUAUUUUAAAAUAUUGUCCCUUAUAUCUGUAGGAUGUGUCACAGGUGAUUUCACAUUUUUUACUCAGGAACUUUGUUUUUAAAUGGAUCCAGAAGCCAAAUGUAAAGCUCGACUCCGUUAAAGCUUGUAACAGUGGAUUUGGGUAGUCGUCUAAGCUAUGAAUGUUUAUUGACAAUUAGAAAGACUGGAUACAAACAAUCAAUAAAAUUGGGUGCUCAGGGAAAGGUUUAAUAACUGUUCACAAAGAAGACUUUUUUCUGAUUGGCUGAGUGUGACAGUCUUGUUACUAUGCAAAGUAGGUUUUGAGGCAACAAUCAUUAUUUGAGCCAAUGGAAUGCUUCAGGGGGUGCAUGAUUACUAGUGUUGUAAUUAAGGGGUGGCUGGUUCUUUUGUGCAGUUUUGGAGUCCCACCCUCCUGCCUUAAACCUUGUUAUAUUUUUUCAGUUUUGUGCUGUCCAUGUUUUUUUUGGUAUCCGGACUAUAGGUCAACCAUGAAAAGGUUGAAAGUCAUUAGGUCGACCACUAAUGGUCAACAUGCAUUAGGUCAACAUGGUCAAUAGGUAGACAUGUAAAAUAUCAGCGGUGCUUAUGGUCGACAGGUACAAAAGAUCAACAUGUACAAAUGGUCGACACACAUAUGGUUGACACAGCUUUUUGGGUAUUUUUAGCAUUCUAAUCAAUUUUUUCAUACUUUACCAUCCACGUUGACUAUGAUUGGAAAUAGUAACCUGCCUGAAGCUCACAAGCCAUGCGACGGAACAUGGUACAGAAAUUGGGGUUCCACAUGCUUUGGCGGCAAAAAUGACAACAACAUUUUUGACAAAUGAUGUGUCUACUUUUUUGUGUCGAUCUUUACCCAUGUCAACCUUUUCAUGUGUUGAUCUUUUGAUCCUGUCAACCUUUACUACGGUCUACCUUUUCAAUGUCAAUCUAAUGACCCUGUUGACCUUUUGACCCUGUUAACCUAAUGUAUGUCGACCAUUAGUGGUUGACUUAAUGACUGUAGACCUUUUGCUUGCAGAUCUAAUGAUCUGCACCCAUUUACUUUUCCCAAUUCUAGUGGAGGCGCUGCAUGUCAGGAGAGAGCUGCAUCUCCGUGGCCUUCUGUGGCACAAGAAGAUAUUGUAGAGCACUUACCCUCUAUUUUUGUCCUACCUAAGGUGGGGGGACCUGAGCAGCAUUCAGACUGUGCUCGUGAGGGGAGAUGAGCCUUCACAGUGCAAGUGUGUCAGUGGGGAGAGAGGGUGCAUUAUAGUUGUCCCCUAAAAGGGUUACAUCUAGAGAAGUUAGAACUGAGAUUGCAGCACCUCCUGGCCACCUUUCUCAUGAUAAUUAAUUUAAGAAAAGCUGUGACAUUUUAUCCAAGCUGUUUGAUGUCUGUGUAUUUUGUUAAGUUGAGUUAAGUAAGGGAAUUUAAUGUGGUUAAUUAUAAAUAAACCAAUGGAGGUCUUAAUAUUCUUAAUAUAAAAGUAUGCAAAGUAUGCAAACAUAAACAAUACAAAGGGAAAAAAAGAAAAUACAAAAAUAGACUUAGAAAUGUUGCAAAACAUGGGAUACAAUCUACAGUAUAUACUGUAGGCAAUGUUUCAUAUUCAGUCACAGUACCCAAGAAGGUAGCAUUGCCUGCUGAGCCUAAAGUUUUGAUGCCUAUGUGGGCAGGGCAAGAAGUCAAGAGGGCAGAGAGCCCUGCUUA